rnacentral:lncRNA from 1 species
GGGAGCUUUUGAAUGCUGCGAAGAGAGAAGACGCCGGUUUUCAUCGAAGUUUUUGUUAAACCCUGGAAAUCAACGCCACAAUUAAUGCCCCUCCCCAGAAAGAACCGCACCGGCAGCAACCCCGUCAGUUCAGUCUUCAGCACACGACGCAACAAAGUCACCCAACCUACCUUAGACCUUCAGCACCGCAGGCAAUAUCGACACCUCGGACUCAUGAUGUGGUCAAUUCCACGCUGGUGUAACAAGCCAUUAAGCCUCAGGCAUGUGCACUGGCUCUUCAUGAGCCCAGUCUCUUAAACAUCUCACCCAUAGAUUGUGUCAGCUGAUGGUAUUGUACAAAUUGCAACAUGAUCAGAGAAAUAGUAGUGGCAAGUUACACUGAGUGAGAGGAGGUAGUGUGAAAUCACUGGUGCCAAGGUGGGCUGAUGUGGACUACCAUACCUCCUAACGUGGACAAGUAAUACACUACUUACCCGAAAUGAACCAUGUUGUAUUUGUUCUGUUACACCCAUACAUAAUUCAUUAGUUCCAUUGGAAGAAAUUCAUUGGAAUUCCAUGGAACAUCCCUCCCAUGAAAUGCGUAUAUACUGUCAUUCUUGAAGGUUGCAGUGUGGUACCACUAGCAACCCGACUUGCAUGUGCAAUUGUUGCAUAGCUCAGGGUUUCAGAGCUAAUUAUGGGGUACUUCUGUCCUGGUAGCACUGACUGGUUUACGUGCCUCAUGCGUGUGCCGUGUGUGCAGGGUAGCUGCUUUUGCUUCCCAGACAAACCUAUGCAAGUAUGAAUAAUGCUUUAAGCUUCACUUGUUGUUACUGUACUACCGCCUAUUGUCCAAAAGACUAGUCCAUGACCCAAAGUGCUAAAAGCACAGCAACUAAAGAACUACAUCACUGCAACUGGAGGUCUGUGUUGAUGUGGGUGCUCUUGCAGACCAUUUCUUGAUAGCGCAACACCAGUGUGAACAUUUUGUCAAGGGGAAGAUUGCAGAAGUGCAAUAACAAGUGAAUUUCAGUACACACAAAUUGAAUAAAUAUUGUCUUGCAUUAGGAGUAUAUAAUCAGCUGUCCGGUGUAUCUGUAGGUGAGGUGUUUAUACAAAGUAAAUAUUGACUGUUCUAACGUGUGGUACAGUAAAAAGAGUUUCACUUAGUGAUCCGUGGAGUGCUAUAUUUUCCCUCCACUCUUCCUUGAGAAUAUACUUACAAUAUGGUAUGGAUCACCUUGCAAUGGUAUCGUUUGAUUGUACCACUCAUUGCAGUCAAUAUUAGCAUACAUUGUACUUAAAAGGCAGUGGUGUAGUCAAGUACAUUUCCAUGAGUACGAAAUGUACUGGAGUAUGAGUAUGAGUACUGCAACACUGCUAGAAGGCAUAUGAAGUGUGACUCAUGAGAAUGUGGAGGUGCACAUUGAUCUAUGCAAGACAAAGCUUUGCUUACUGCAUUUAUUCUAGCUUUAUAUGAACAUCUUCCAUAUGCCCAGUGACAUCUGAAACAUUUUUGUCAUUGACCUGACCAAUCACAUUGCUUUAUGACUAUAACAAUGAACAAGUAAGGGCGUUGUUUUCUUCUCUUGCUUUUGCAAAGUUUAAGGAAAACAAGACAAGUCCCUGCAUGCUUGAUUGAUGCGGCAUGAUUGUCAACAUCUGACAUGGUUUCUGCACAUCCACGUACUCUGGUUCAUAUUUAACUUAUGUAACUUCUUGGAAGCUUCCAUCCUAUUGUUCAUUUGUGUCUCGGUAAACAGUCAAAAUGUGGUAUUAAGCGCAUUCAGUUUUGCUGUUGAACCACUGUUAUUAACACAUUGAACCCAACUUUUUCAACAACUCAGAAUAUAGUAUAGGUAGAUUUUUCUUUAGGACAUUAAUAUCCAUGAUAUAUAUACGUAUAUAUUUUUAAGAAGGGGCUAAAGUCCAGCACUUUUUGAGUGAGAAAGCUAGAAUUGUUUUGCUUGUAUCCUAUUGUGUAUAGCUAUCCAGAGAUAAGUUGUGUCUAGUUUCUGUGCUGUUAUAGUUUGGUUUUCGUAUAUGGCACAUGAUGUAGGGUUUGAUAUUUACUUUGCUAGCUUGUGAUUUGCAACUUUGCCACAAACAUUUAAGAUAAAUAUAAAGAUCAUAAAAUGAUCACUUUUUUGUUAUUAAUUUCAUUAAUCAGAAAUACAGGUGGAAUGUAGGUUAGCUAUACACAUCAAUCAUAUUGACAAAUAUGUUGGUUUGUAUAAAAAAAAAAGGCCUCCUGUUUAAACGAUAUACUUAAAGUCUUUAUUAGUUUAAUUGUGUUGGACAAUAUAUUUCAAAUGAUGUUUAUUAUAUAAAAAAGUGAUCACAUAGGGAAAUGGUUUCAGUAAAUUAUGUUUAAAAGAAAUCAUUUCUGCUAUGCAAAAUGUAAAAAAAAGGUUUAAAUAUUGUAUGGUUUUACUUGUUUAUGUAUAUUCAUUUACUUUUACAAAAUUGUGCAAUUUAUGAAUUAAUAACUGAGCUUUCAGACAUUUGAGAUGGAAAAAGUCAACAUUGAUACUAAAGGACCUAAGACAAGAAAUGGGAAAAUGGGGGGGGGGGGGGCGGAGCGUUUGUUGAAUUCUUUAUUUCAGUUAUGCUGGUAGCUUUAUUUAUUUGACAUGGUCCUACAGAAACUGCAAUUGUUGCAAUAAAGUAGUCCAAGUUAUUCUUUUGCUAACUGCGAAAACUGUAAACUAAUGAAUGUACACAUGUUUUUGUGAGAAUAGAUUUGGUUUAUUGUAACAAUGUAUGGUUAUAUUUUGUACAAAUUAUCCUACUUCCCAUGCAUGGAUGCUGUGAUUAUGUUCAGUAAUUUAGUUGUUUUAAGUCUAUUUUCUUCGGUCAAGAUAGAGGUUCUGAGUACAAACAAUGUGCUUUUUAAAAAUGAACGAGUGAUUGUUUGAAUUAUUGUCUGGUACAAUUUAUGUUGCACAUUGUGACUUGCUUUUCACAGAGUGCAUGUACAUGUAAUAUAUGAAUUCUGUAACGUAUGUACUACUAGUAUGUUAUGUCCAGUGGCCCUAAGAGUGAAAUAACAUUAUGUGAGACUUGCA